CCUACGGGGGGCAGCAGUGGGGAAUAUUGGACAAUGGGGGGAACCCUGAUCCAGCCAUGCCGCGUGUGUGAAGAAGGCCCUCGGGUUGUAAAGCACUUUCAGUGAGGAAGAACGCCUGGUGGUUAAUACCCAUCAGGAAAGACAUCACUCACAGCAGAAGCACCGGCUAACUCCGUGCCAGCAGCCGCGGUAAUACGGAGGGUGCGAGCGUUAAUCGGAAUUACUGGGCGUAAAGCGGGCGUAGGUGGGUUGAUAAGCCGGUUGUGAAAGCCCCGGGCUCAACCUGGGAACGGCAUCCGGAACUGUCAAGCUAGAGUGCAGGAGAGGAAGGUAGAAUUCCCGGUGUAGCGGUGAAAUGCGUAGAGAUCGGGAGGAAUACCAGUGGCGAAGGCGGCCUUCUGGACUGACACUGACACUGAGGUGCGAAAGCGUGGGUAGCAAACAGGAUUAGAUACCCCGGUAGUC
rnacentral:rRNA from 1 species